UAUAUUUUGAAAAAUUUCAUAAAUAUUUCUCACUUUCUUUUGUGUUUUGAGCACUAAAUCAUAUCUUCCAUGGCCACUACAAAAUUCUCCCUUCAAUCGGUUUUGCUGCUUUGCAUAGUUUUGUUUUCUAUGUUGGCUCUCCAUCAAUGUAAUGAAAGUACAACAGGAGAAGUUAAAUCAAUCGAGCAUUGCUUCCAAUCUACUGGUGUACCCGAACUAUGGUGUUGCAAUUUGAAUACACCAAACAAAUGCUAUGUUACUCAAGAAGCAUGUGGUGCUAAUUGUCAUUAGUCAUAAAUUUGCAAUAACAAUAAUGUUAAUUCGAGAAAACAUUACUAUGUUUUUUUCCCAAUUAGUACUCAUGAGUUUCAUGUUGCUAGCUUUGUUGAUGUAUGAAUAAAACAAAACAAUUUGGCUA